rnacentral:rRNA from 1 species
UACGAAGGGGGCUAGCGUUGCUCGGAAUCACUGGGCGUAAAGGGUGCGUAGGCGGGUCUUUAAGUCAGGGGUGAAAUCCUGGAGCUCAACUCCAGAACUGCCUUUGAUACUGAAGAUCUUGAGUUCGGGAGAGGUGAGUGGAACUGCGAGUGUAGAGGUGAAAUUCGUAGAUAUUCGCAAGAACACCAGUGGCGAAGGCGGCUCACUGGCCCGGUACUGACGCUGAGGCGCGAAAGCGUGGGGAGCAA